UCCAGGACUCCUAAUCAUUCCCAGGUCUCUGCUUUUAUAACUAUUCCAUUAUUCAUCGUGGAAUAUGAUGAAAUCACACAAACCAUACAGUACAACCGACGACCCCAUAGCGGGUCCUCCUCUUAUUCAACCCCCAAAAGUUACAAGAAAGACAAAGGGGCCAGCGCAAUCCUAGCACAGUCCUGACGGUUCUUCCACACCCAGUGAACUCUCUUGGAACUCAACUGCAGAGAGUCACUCAUUGUGACAAACACUAAAAGUUUAGAAUUUUAGUCUUUCAUUUGCCAAUCGCCAUGCAUGAGGCAUGACUCACGGGCUUCAGGAGAUAAAGUCCCGGAGUUAAAGACACACACCCUCGCUUUCUUUCGCCUUUCUACCUCUGGCUCAGGUGGGACCUCGAGGAAGUAUAACUUUGUGGGUCCGCCUAAUCUGGCAGUUUCGUGAAUGAACUGAAAAGACAUGCACACUUACGAGGGAGAGAGAUGUCCUCUUCAGUGGGCCGUUCGUGAGCGGAGCGGAGGAGGAACCGAAGCCGCAGGGGCGCCUGCAGAGGAGAAGCUUUUCCUACCUUCGCAUGUGUUGGGUCAGCAGCAAAUGUCAGCCGGUGGCUGACCGAACAGCCUGCCUCAGGUGGGAAAGCUGCACGCGAGACGUUUCCGUGCCAGGCCCGACCGAACCCCAGAACCUUCGCUGACAGCCCUUGACUUUGAACUCCAAGUAUCAGACUUGCAGGUACAGCUGGAAGGGUGGAAAGGUUUCCAACGGACAGAAAUCGGUCUGGAAGUCACUCCAAGGAGAGAUACCGUGUCAACAAAAGAAGAAAUCUGCCCACACAUGUUGGAAAGUUGGUUCCAGAGAAUGGAGGCUUUGACCUUAUUGACUGCUCGGCUAGUCAGCAGAUACUUGAUGGAUUCUUUCAUUCAUUCAGCACGUUAUUUUAUGACAAGUACUACAUAUUAAAAUUUUAAAGAAAAAUCACCUUUGGCUUGUAAAUUCUAGGUUAAAUAUUUACUUAGACUUUAGAAGUUAAACUUGUUUCAAUUUUUAUUUGCUUGUUUCUGU
rnacentral:lncRNA from 1 species